UCCAGACUCCUACGGGAGGCAGCAGUGAGGAAUAUUGGUCAAUGGGCUUACGCCUGAACCAGCCAAGUCGCGUGAGGGAAUAAGGCCCUACGGGUCGUAAACCUCUUUUGCCGGGGAGCAAGGGCGGGGACGUGUCCCGGCCCGGAGAGUACCCGGAGAAAAAGCAUCGGCUAACUCCGUGCCAGCAGCCGCGGUAAUACGGAGGAUGCGAGCGUUAUCCGGAUUUAUUGGGUUUAAAGGGUGCGUAGGCGGGCUUUUAAGUCAGCGGUAAAAAUUCGGGGCUCAACCCCGUCCGGCCGUUGAAACUGGGGGCCUUGAGUGGGCGAGAAGAAGGCGGAAUGCGUGGUGUAGCGGUGAAAUGCAUAGAUAUCACGCAGAACUCCGAUUGCGAAGGCAGCAUACCGGCGCUCAACUGACGCUCAUGCACGAAAGUGUGGGUAUCGAACAGGAUUAGAUACCCCCGUA
rnacentral:rRNA from 1 species